rnacentral:misc_RNA from 1 species
CUAUUGUGCUCUUUUGCAUGGGCUACUGUUUCCUAAGGAGGCGGGCAAGAAAGAAGUAUGACGCUAUAGAGGAAGAUGGUGGAAAUGAAAUUUCAACCGUGGAGUCUUUACAAUUUGAUCUGAGUAUGAUAGAAGCUGCUACAAAUAACUUCUCUGAUGAUAACAAGUUAGGUGAAGGUGGAUUUGGUGGUGUUUACAAGGGCACACUUCCUAAUGGGCGAGAGAUAGCUGUGAAGAGACUAUCAAGAAGCUCUGGGCAAGGGACAGAAGAAUUUAAAAAUGAGGUGUUAUUGUUAGCCAAGCUUCAACACAGAAAUCUUGUGAGGCUGAUUGGAUUCUGCUUGGAGGGAGAAGAAAAAAUUCUUGUCUAUGAAUUUGUUCCCAACAAAAGCCUUGACUACUUUCUUUUCGACCCUGAAAAGCAAGGAAAAUUGGAUUGGGAAAGACGAUACAAAAUCAUAGGAGGAAUUGCUAGAGGGUUCCUUUAUCUUCAUGAGGAUUCUCGACUUAGAAUUAUACAUCGCGACCUUAAAGCUAGCAAUGUUCUGUUAGAUCAAGAUAUGAACCCAAAAAUAGCAGACUUUGGUAUGGCCAGAAUUUUUGGAGUUGAUCAAAGUGAAGGAAAUACAAAUAGAGUUGUUGGGACAUAUGGAUACAUGUCUCCUGAAUAUGCAAUGCAUGGACAAUUC